GGGGUUGUGGCUCAGUGGUAGAGCACUCGCCUAGCAUGUGUGAGGCACUGGGUUCAAUUCUCAGCACCA
rnacentral:tRNA from 1 species